CCGCCCAAGCCUCUGACGCAAGCUCAAAUCGGGCGGU
rnacentral:sRNA from 23 species